rnacentral:pre_miRNA from 1 species
ACAACAUUGGGACCGUUGGUCUAGCGAGCAAUAUCGCUCGGUGAAAGAUCUUCCCUUUGUCGU